rnacentral:rRNA from 1 species
UACGUAGGGUCCGAGCGUUGUCCGGAAUUAUUGGGCGUAAAGGGCUCGUAGGCGGUUUGUCACGUCGGGCGUGAAAACUCAGGGCUCAACCCUGAGCGUGCGUUCGAUACGGGCAGACUAGAGGUAUGCAGGGGAGAACGGAAUUCCUGGUGUAGCGGUGGAAUGCGCAGAUAUCAGGAGGAACACCGGUGGCGAAGGCGGGGUCCUGGGCCAGUACUGACGCUGAGGAGCGAAAGCGUGGGGAGCAAACGGG